AACUCAUUGAUUCCAGAUUUCCUCGUGAAGAGAAUCAGGCAGAAAACAGAAGUGACUCCAGUGUGUGACACAAACAGCACUGUGGAUAUCAUCACACUUCUUACAUGUAAGAUCAGAACAGAGCGGAGCAGGGCUGAACCCUGUUCUCUGGUCUACCAGUAUGAUGGACAUGGAUUCAGCUUUGAUCAGGGAUGUGGCUCCAGCUUCUUCCUUACUGGAAACAAUCAGACAGCGCUUCUCCACUUCCAUGAUUUGACUGCAGCUGACAGCGGGAACAUCACCUGUUCAUGUGCAUACCAAGGACGAGUGCAUAAUCUUCAUCUCAGCAUCACUGUGGAAGCUUCAGAAGAGGAAGAAUUCACCACAGGUAUGAGAAUAACAAUGAUCAUCCGUGGUUCAGUUGUGGCUUUUUUUCUCAUUGUGACCUCAGUGAUGCUGGUGUUCUUCUGCAGAAAACAACAUCCAAGAAAAACAACCAGAUACAGUGAGAAAACCUCCCAACAUGGACGGUGCAGACGUGGGGCCGUACAGCACCUUCAUCCCCACUGA
rnacentral:lncRNA from 1 species